GAAAAUCACUAUGAAUUCUAACAAGAAAGCAUCAAAAAUUCUGCGAAAAAGAAGCUAUAAAACCACUAUAAAGGAUUGGAGCAUAGUCCGCGUAAUCAUCUUCUUCUCAUUAUUUGAAACGUAAACCACUAUUUGAAAAAAAUCAUCAUCUUCUUCCUCCCAUCAGCAAUUUCGUCAAAAAAAUCAUCAAGAACAAAAACAUCACCAAAAUUAAAAGAACAAAAAUCAACCGUUAAAAAAAAUUUAAAAAAAAAAGAAGAAACUAAAUCAUUACAAUACUCCAACAGAGGACCAAACUAAUGCACACAUCGAUGUUAUGUACAACACCACCUCUCUAAACCCCAAACGGCUGGCGACCAUAUUUAUGGCGGCAUAAUCACCCCAUUCCUCUCUCUCUCAAUCCAAGCACCAUCCAACAGCCAACAUUAAGAGGAAUGCACUAGCAGCAAUGCACGUGAAAAUAAAUAGAUGUACCUACUUUGAUGCAAACUUGAUAGCAAUUUCAAGCCUAUCUUUGAGAGUAGCCAUAUCCUUAAGUAUCCCUCUCUCUCUCUCUAGAAAAAACCUGCAAAAAAUUUCCAGAUAGAGAAAGACGAACAAGUGAAAUCGGAGACGAAAACCUCCUAAACCCGACCCGUUUCGCAAUCAAACUGCAUGUUUUAAGGAACAAUUGAAUCAAUUUUAUUACCCUAAUUUCUCGAUCAAUUCCUUCCCCUUUACACAAUUCACGGAGGGGGAUAAAAUCGAAGAAAAACGAAAAAAGGGAUUUUUUUUUCCCGGCGAGAUUAUGACAUUAGCUAUAAUUUGUAGAGAAAUUGAAAAAGAGCGAUAGAAAAGAAAGAGAGCGGGGCAGGGGCGGCGGUGGCGUGGGAUUGGAAAGAAGGAAGAAAGAAAAUAAAUUAGAGAAAAAAGAGACGUGAGUGGUUACUAGGGUAAAAGAAAAAAAAAUGAUAUUAUAGGAAAUUUGUAUUAUUUAUGGCAAUAAAAAUAUUUUGAAUUUAUCUCAAUAAGAUGAAUUUUUU
rnacentral:lncRNA from 1 species